UCCGUACUCAGAGUUGUUUUUAACUUAGGUGAUACAUAGUCACAGCUAAGUUCCCGAGUGUGGGGUGUGUCCGUACUCGGAGUAGUUUUUUACUUAGGUGGAGUCAGGUUCGCAGCUAAACACCAGAGUGUGGAGCAUGUACGUACUCGGAGUUGUUUCUAACUUAGUUGAUACGGAGUCGCAGAUAAGUUCCGGAGUGUGGAGCGUGUCUGUAUUGGGAGUAGGUUUUUGUACUUAGGCGAAGUCAGGUUCGCAUCUAAGCCCCCGAGUGUGGAGCAUGUCCGUACUCAGAGUUGUUUUUAACUUAGGCGAUACAGAGUCGCAACUAAGUUCCCGAGUGUGGAGCAUGUCCGUAUUUGGAGUUGUUUAUAACUUAGGCGACACGGAGUCGCAACUAAGUUCCCGAGUGUGGAGCGUGUCCGUACUCGGAGUUGUUUUUAACUUAGGCGAUACGGAGUCGCGGCUAAGUUCCCGAGUGUGGAGCAUGUCCGUAAUUGGAGUUGUUUUUUAACUUAGGUGAUAUGGAGUUGCAGAUAAGUUCCCGAGUGUGGAGCAUGUCCAUACUCAGAGUUAUUUUUAACUUAGGGAAUAUGGAGUCACAGCUAAGUUCUCAGCUGUGGAGCGUGUCCGUACUCGAAAUAGUUUUUUACUUAGGCAAAGUGAGGUUUGCAACUAAGCCGGUCACCCACUAGGGGGUUGUGGAAUAGAUGUGUUCAGCUGAGCUAUGGCGCACGGGCCGGCUGAGUGACGAUGCGGGAGGCAUCUAAGUGAUGAAGACAUCUCCAGCUGAGUGGCUACGCGAUGGGCGGCCGUGUGAUGAAGAUGCAUUCAGCGAAAUAAUGGCGCGCGAGGCGGCCGGGUGAUGGAGACGUGUCCGAUAGAGUGGCAGCCCACGGGGCGGCCAUGUGAUGAAGACGCGCUUGGUGGAGUGAUAGCGCGCGAGGCGGUCGAGUGAUGUAGGCGCGCUCGGCGGAGUGGCGAUGCGCGAGGCGGCCGAGUGAUGAAGACGUGCUCGGCGGAAUGAUGGCGCGUGAGACAGCCGAGUGAUGGUGAUGCGUCCAACCGAGUGGCGACACGUUGGGCGGCAAAGUGAUGUCGACCGCUCAGCAGAGUGACGGCGCGCGAGACGGCCGAGUGAUGGAGACGCGUCCAACCGAGUGGCGACACGCUAGGCGGCCAAGUGAUGUUGGCACGUCCAGCAGAGUGGCAACGCACAGGGCGUCCAUGUGAUGAAGACGUGCUCGGCAGAGUGACGACGCGUUGGGCGGCCAUGUGAUGAAGACACGCUCGAUGGAGUGAUGACGCGCGAGGCGGCCGGGUGAUAUAGGCGCGUCCAGCAGAGUGGCAAUGUGUGGGGCAUCCACAUGAUGUAGGCACGUCCAGCAGAGUGGCGACGCGCCGGGUGUCCAAGUGAUGAAGACUCGCUCGGCAGAGCGACGACAUGCGAGGCGACCCUGUGAUGGAAAAGCGUCCAACCGAGUGGCGGUGCGCUGGGCGGCCAAGUGACGUAGGCGCGUCCAACCAGAUGACGACGGGCGGGGCGUCCGAGUGACUGUGUAACCUAUGUACGAAAAAUAGCACAAACCAACGUAAAAAAAUUCCCAAAGCAAUAUGAGUUUGCUAAUGGGUGUGCGAGGUGAUUGCUGGUUUGGAACCAGCAAGAGUCAGCAAGAGUCUAAAAGAGUGAAGGAUCCGGCUAAACUCGUUUGAGUUCUGAACCCAAAUAAAGCGGAAAUGAAGUGUUUCGAUAUGAAAUAAAAAACCAAACGCUGAGGUACACUCACUAGCGUGGCCUCCGAGUGAACAUCAUGUGUGACUUACAAGAGACUCAGUAAUGCAGAAAUGACUACUUAAUUGAAUGCAUCGUGUGAAGAAUGACUUAGCUGUCUAAUGGCGCGUGCGCGGCCGUGUAGCGAAGACGUUUUCAACCGAUGGCGAGAUGUAGGGAAGCUGAGUGAUGAAGAUACACCUCAUCGGGUGGCGACGCGCAGAGCGGCCGAGUGAUGAGGUCGCUUUCGGUUGAGCGACGGCGCGCGGGGCAGUCGAAUGAUGAAGUCGUGUCUGAUUGAGCGACGACACACGGGGCGGCCGAAUGACGAAGAUUCGUACAACUGAGGGACGGCGCGCGGAGUGACAGAUUGAUGACGACGCGUCCGACUGAGGGAUGGUGUGUGGGGCGACCGAGUGUUAACGACGCGUCCGACUCAGCAACGGCAUGCAGACGGUCGGUUUAUUAGUACAAGUCCGACUAAGGGACGACGCGCGGUGCGGCCGAGUGUUGACAACGCGUCCGACUGAGGGAAGCCACGUAGGGCGGCCGAGUGUUGACGACGCGCCCGACUGAGCGACGGUGCGCGGGGCAGCCGAGUGUUGACGACACGUCCGACUGAGCGACGGCGCGCGGGGCUACCGAUUUAUGACGAUGAGUCCGACUAAGGGACGGCACGCAGGGCGUCCGAAUGAUGAAGUCGUGCCCGGUUGAGCGACGGCGCACGGGGCAACAGAGUGGUGAAGUUGCGUCCGGUUGAGCGACGGCGCACGGGCGACCGACUGAUGAAGUCGCGUCCGGUUGAGCGACGACAUACGAGGUGGUCGAAUGAUGAUGUCGUGUCUGAUUGAGCGACGGCACACGGGGUGAUCGAGUGAUGAAGUCGCGUCCGGUUGAACGACGGCACACAGGGCGGCUGAUUGGUGCACACGAGUCCCGAGGAAUGGAACGUGCAGGACGACCGACUGAUGCAUACGUGUCCGAUGGAGAGACGACGCGAGGGGCGACCGACUGACUGCAUGUUGGUCGUCUGUACGUAAAUUUCAUUUGCGUGUCCUCGUGUUAGCGGCUCCAACGGAAUGUCCGCCCGGGUAAGUGUUGUCCGAAGACGAUAACGAACGAGUAAUCCUACAUGUUAGUAGCAAGUAUAGCUAUGAAUAUAUUUUUUGUUGGAUCAAAACGUGGCCAUUUUAUGAGGACUAGUUAGCAUGCACGUGCAACGCACGACUAACUGAAUAAUUUAUAAAUUGCUUUUAAUAUUAAAAUUUUAGUAUAUAUAUAUAUAGCUGCAAAAAUAUUAAAACACACACAAUAUACACAUUACUUGCACUCCAUUGAAAAAUUAAAAAUAAAUGUAUUCGGUGGAAUAAUGGAAAAAAUGUUUGGAGUAACAUAAGACAAGGAGACCAUGAUCAACAACAAAUCAUUUUGCUAAAUUGGAUAUGAUCAAGUUGAAAUUCAUAUUUCUCUUCAAAUUCCACGUAAAAGGCCACUUGAAUUAUAUGGAAAUAAAAUAAUUCCUCAAACAACAUCGAAAAAAUGUUGCACAAUUGUCAAAUAAUCCAAAAUAAUUAUUAUUAAGGAAAACAACAUCACCCUCGAUGUUGGUGUGGACCCCACCAUCAAAACAGAGUCAUUUUUGCAUUUAAAAGUGCUCUUAAAUUCCAUGAAAAAAAUCCAAACAUAUUUCAAUGGGCCCAAUUAUUUUUGUGAUCAUUCAAAAUACUGUAAGAUAUGUGUUGGACCAUGUCACACAUUUUUUCUAUAAGGAAUAGUUGCUGGAAUUAAAUAAAGCAGAAAAUAAUAAAAGAAAGCAUAAAAAAAUAAGAAAAAAUAAAAAGUAGAAAGCUACUGGGCACUUAGGCCCAGCUGGUACAGGCUGGCCCGGCCCAGCUAGGCUGGCCUUUCUCCCACCUCCCGACAGAGGCAGGGGAGGCCAUGGCGCCAUAGCCGUCCGCGUACGGAUGCCCUCGCUGGCGAGCAUCCAACGGCUCCCCCGACGCGGAUAAUGCGACCCUGAGCGUCUCUCCAACCCUAGCCUCCUUUUCGCCUCGCCUCGCGCCCCAAGGAGCUCCUCUCCUCUCUUGCCCCCUUUCCCAUGUCCAGCCGAACGCCGCCAUGGCCAUGCUACGGUGAGCUCGCAGCCACCGCCAGCCUCGCUCCUAUCCGUCGAGCCUAGACGCUCCAUGACAUCCUCCUCGACCCCCUCGAGCUCUGGAUCGAACCGGAGCACGACGCAGCUUCGUCCCGUUCCUCUUCUUCAACCUCGGACCCGAGAGCUCACCGUCGUCGAUCUCCUCUCUCCGAGCUCCUCCGACUGCACCGGGCCUUUCCAUCGACGUUGGUGAGCUCCUCUCGCCGCUCCUUCGCCUCUGUGCGCUCCCGUAGCGGUGGCAUGUGGCGACGGCGAGGAAACAACAGGCAUACAACUCCAUUGAGAAAUUAGUAAAUCACUAAAUCUUAUUUCACUGAAAGUUUCAGUGGGUGUUGCUAAGAAAUGUUUCACACAAGCGCACCCAAUGCACAAAAGAAACGACAUUGCUAUCCCUGGGUAAAAUCCUAAAUACGAAAACUGUAAGCAUAAAAACCAGACCUCUUGUGGUAAAUUGUCAGCUUACUUGUUGAACAAAUUCGAGGGAUGUGUCCGGCCGUCCGACAUAGAAGAAGAUGAGCUGUGUUCUCCUGAGGGACAUGAGAUCCCUGGGGAACUCCCUGAGCAGCUGUCACACACGAGCAAGAAC
rnacentral:lncRNA from 1 species